CCUACGGGAGGCAGCAGUGGGGAAUAUUGCGCAAUGGGCGAAAGCCUGACGCAGCGACGCCGCGUGAGGGAUGAAGGUCUUCGGAUCGUAAACCUCUGUCAGCAGGGAAGAACGGUCACUGUGCUAAUCAGCGGUGAAUUGACGGUACCUGCAAAGGAAGCACCGGCUAACUCCGUGCCAGCAGCCGCGGUAAUAUGGAGGAUCCGAGCGUUAUCCGGAUUCAUUGGGUUUAAAGGGUGCGUAGGUUGAUUUAUAAGUUAGCGGUGAAAUACCGAUGCUCAACAUCGGAGCUGCCGCUAAUACUGUAGGACUAGAGAGCGGAUGCGGCAGGCGGAAUGUGUAGUGUAGCGGUGAAAUGCAUAGAUAUUACACAGAACACCGAUUGCGAAGGCAGCUUGCUAGGCCGGAUCUGACGCUGAGGCACGAAAGCGUGGGGAGCGAACAGGAUUAGAUACCCCAGUAGUC
rnacentral:rRNA from 1 species